GAUGAACGCUGGCGGCGUGCCUAAUACAUGCAAGUCGAGCGAACGGACGAGAAGCUUGCUUCUCUGAUGUUAGCGGCGGACGGGUGAGUAACACGUGGAUAACCUACCUAUAAGACUGGGAUAACUUCGGGAAACCGGAGCUAAUACCGGAUAAUAUUUUGAACCGCAUGGUUCAAAAGUGAAAGACGGUCUUGCUGUCACUUAUAGAUGGAUCCGCGCUGCAUUAGCUAGUUGGUAAGGUAACGGCUUACCAAGGCAACGAUGCAUAGCCGACCUGAGAGGGUGAUCGGCCACACAGGAACUGAGACACGGUCCAGACUCCUACGGGAGGCAGCAGUAGGGAAUCUUCCGCAAUGGGCGAAAGCCUGACGGAGCAACGCCGCGUGAGUGAUGAAGGUCUUCGGAUCGUAAAACUCUGUUAUUAGGGAAGAACAUAUGUGUAAGUAACUGUGCACAUCUUGACGGUACCUAAGCAGAAAGCCACGGCUAACUACGU
rnacentral:rRNA from 1 species